GGUCAACUAAAGCUAAUCGACACAGUAGAGAAUUUUUAAGCAAUCUAAAUGAUGACCAACUAGAAGAACAACUUAUUAGAUCGAGCCAAAGGCUUGAAGAACUCAACAAAGAGAUUCUGCAGAUGGAAGAUAAGUUAGAAGAGAAAGGAAAAUUUUUUUUGCACUUGCAGCAAAAGUCCAAGGUAAAUUGUAUUCUUC